GACCAGAGGCAGGACCCUGGUGGGAUCUGAAGGGACAGAGCAGCCCCACCAGAGAGAGCAUCACCCAGAGAGAGAGCCACUACCCUCAGCCUCCUUUGCCAACGGGGAUCACCACCCCCCCACCCCCACUCCCCUGCGAGCCUGGCUCCUGGUCCCUCCCUGGCCCCUUCCCUGCAGCACCACCCCUGGUCCCUGUCCCCAAAGUGGUGUCUAGAGGGCCAGGAGGCAAAAGCAGAAGCGCAGGUGCCCUACCCACCAGCCAGCGCCCUGGGCACCACUGGGGCCUCAGGCCUGAAUCCUGGGGCGCUGCAGCCGGUGGCCAGAGCUAUGCCCUCCGUGUGCCAGCACAUGUACAGAUGGGGCGGCGGAACAGGUCAGGAAAUGAAGAGUAAGGGAGCAUCGCGAUCCCACAGACACAAAACCAGCCCCCUGCCUGCCUCUCCCUGGGGAAACGGAUCCGGGUUCAUCUCACUCAGGGGCUUGGCAUCUGGCCCGGGGUCAGAAUUCCUCGCAGAAAAUCUAACGAAAGGAGAAAAGCACAUUUUCAAUCCCGCACAAGAAAGAUGCUUCCCGGAAGUUAUGACGUCAUUGCAUCUGGGGGCACUGCGCUUUUGUGGUGAAGAAAAAGGACGGAAAAGAAUGUACCCUGUUAUUUUGUGAGAAGGGGAAACACAGGCCACAAAUCCCUGGUCCUCUUGGCCCUCGUCUACCACACCCUUCCCCAUCCCUGGCCACGUGGCUGCCUGGGAGGAACCCGCUGGCCCACAGGAUGGCAUGAAACACUCCCCUGACUCCCAGCUCGCUUACGGGUAAUGUUUUCAGGGCACAGACGAGAGUGGGGUGAAGCGUGUUUCCAGGUCCCGCUCCCCAACAGACCCGUCCUAAUCUGGCGCGUUUUGGAUGCGAUGGAGUGACAUCAUAGGCCCGGCUACAAAAAUGGCCCCAGGUCGCCAGCAGACUGAGCCCCCCAAAAUUGUAGAGCCAGAGGUCUGUUGGGCCACCUGUCAGAUCGACCCUUAAGGCCACAGACACAGCCUCAGUGGGGUUCCCCCUGGAGCAUGUACUCCUACUGUUUCUUCCUCUGUUUCCCAAUCCUUAUCAGAAACCUCA